AGCCAGCGUAGUCUUCUCUGAGUAAGAAGAGCAUAGAUGCUGUGCAUAUUGGACCGUUUCAGAACGUCCUGGUUGGAAACAUGAUCCAUCCAUGAGAUGCACAUUAUGCGUCGCAGGCAGCGUAAGUGGAAGCUAUCUAAUCUGCGUUCUUAAGACAUGUAAAUUUCCCAACUCUCAUGGACAUAAAGAAGUGUGCUGAGGACG